UAGACACAGAGCAGGAGAGAGGUUAGCAUUCCUGCUGCUCAGGAUGGAAAGCCUCCUAAUGGCCUCACACCACACACAUGGUUCAGGCAUUGCCACCUACACAGGGCCAUCUAACCAGGCUUGUGG